rnacentral:rRNA from 1 species
GACGAACGCUGGCGGCGUGCUUAACACAUGCAAGUCGAACGGAAAGGCCCUGCUUUUGUGGGGUGCUCGAGUGGCGAACGGGUGAGUAACACGUGAGUAACCUGCCCUUGACUUUGGGAUAACUUCAGGAAACUGGGGCUAAUACCGGAUAGGAGCUCCUGCUGCAUGGUGGGGGUUGGAAAGUUUCGGCGGUUGGGGAUGGACUCGCGGCUUAUCAGCUUGUUGGUGGGGUAGUGGCUUACCAAGGCUUUGACGGGUAGCCGGCCUGAGAGGGUGACCGGACAAAUUGGGACUGAGAUACGGCCCAGAAUCCUACGGGAGGCAGGAGUGGGGAAUAUUGCACAAUGGGCGGAAGCCUGAUGCAGCAACGCCGCGUGCGGGAUGACGGCCUUCGGGUUGUAAACCGCUUUCGCCUGUGACGAAGCGUGAGUGACGGUAAUGGGUAAAGAAGCACCGGCUAACUACGUG